rnacentral:pre_miRNA from 1 species
AAAUAUCAGCAGGUAAUUCUGGGCUGUUCCCAUCCCAGACUACCCGUUGAUAUGCAA